UGGGGGUGGGUGACCCACCUGGGCACCACCAAACCUCCUGGCAGGGUCAUUAAUCCUUCCCUGUCCAUGUGAACAUGCUGGGGGUGACCCUGUGCCCACCUGGACAUCACCAAACCUCCUGGGCAGCCAAUGGAAUCAUCUCCAAUAGAUCCUGGGUCUCAUUAAUUCCCUGCUCUGUCACAUCAGUCCCAUCACUCAAAUGGGAAAUCUCUGGUUUUGCUUCACUUGGUGUGUUCCACCUUGUUUGGGCUCUUUUUGAGAUCACCUAAAAGGUGAUUUUACCAAAAAAGGUAAAAACAAAGAUGUGCCUGCAUGUUACUGACCCUUGUCAAUAUUGACCCAGGUCAAUCCUGCAGAAUCUGAGGGUGGGAGGUGAGUUUUGCCAUGAAAGCCCUGAUUUGAGGUGAACAGGAGUUUUCCCAUGCUGGAUACACACAAAAUAAAUACAUAACUCUGAUGGGAUCUCAAAUUAGUGCUACUGCCAGUAACAGAACUCAGGAUGGGGAUUACUGCUCUGACUCCAGGGGUUGUUUCUGACCUUGCAUUCCCAAGGAGUUUUCCUGGUGCUGCUUUAACAGGGACAUCCAGUUAUCCAAGGGAACCAUUUCCCAUCAUUAAAAUGGGAACAAACCAGCUGAAUGUCCCUCCAGGAAGCAAAAUAAUAAACUACAAGUGUAAGAGCUGAGUAAAGAAUGAAACUCUUGCUCCUAGGAGGGGGCACAGUGAUUGUUCAGACAUUGGAAUGAUGAAUUGCAUUGACUUUUUAUAGUUGAGAUGGGGAGGUUUAGGUUGGACAUGAGGAAAAGGUUCUUCUUUUAGGAAAAGGGUCCUUGGACUCCUUGAUCCUUCCAGCUCAGGGUGUUCAUAUUCUGUGAAGGAUUUUGGUUUUGUUGAUGAUUGGAGGGGUGAGUACCAUCAUGGCACACAGCACCAGGCUCCUCCAAACUCCAGCAUUAAAUCAGCUCCCCCUGGGCAGUGAACCCCCUUUCCAAACCCUGUCCUGCUGCUGAUCUCCUGUCCCCCUUUCUUCUGCCCCUCUGUGCUCCUGCAGCUGCAGCUCUGAGCCAGGAGUGUGGUAAUGAUCUGUACAGUGAUCAGAAAUAUUAAUAAUGAUGAGAAUUCACUUCCCUUUCAUCUCAGGUCUCUCCUGCCCUCGGUGUUUUCAUCAGCAGCCUCUUCUCUGCUUUUCCUGAGGAAUAUAAAUACACUCUCCACAUGCUUUUUCUCUCUGAAUGUUAUUUUCAGGCCAGCCUCAAGGCAGUUUUGGAUUUGCUGUGUACCCAUAGAAAUACACUUCAGCUCUGUGUUGUGUUCAGAUUCCCACUAAAAAUUUAUUUUAAUAGAUUAUAGUAUUAUUUUAAUAAAUUAUAGUAUUAUUUCAA